AUAUUUGCACUUAUUUAAAAUUCAUCAUGUACAUAUAAAGAUUUUUAGGAAAGACAAACAGAAGAAUAAUAAUUAAGGAGUCAUAGUUAAUGGUAAUUAUUAGUCUGAAACGACUCCAAGAGCUCUUGCUUAUCAGUGGCUCUUAUUGAAUAUCAGUGGCUAACACAAAUCAGGACAUCAUAUUAAAUCGAGAAAAUCCCGUAGAUAUAGUUUAACAAUGGAUGUGAAAUAUCAUUAGUGACUGUAUUGUUAACAAUUCAACUGUCUGACUGUAAUUAAAGAAAAAAUUAUGGA